rnacentral:sRNA from 1 species
GCUGGGUACAGUAGUGCAUGCCUGUAAUCCCAGCAGCUUGGGAGGCUGAGACAUGAGGAUCACCAGUUCAAAGCCAGCCUCAGCAAUGGCAAGAUGCUAAGCAACUCAGUGAGACCCUGUCUCUC